CUCUGAUCCGCAGCGCCACACCUCUCCUGCAUGCUGGACCUCAGCUGCUGCUGAGUUAAUACAUAUCAAGGUUUUCCAACCCUGUAUCAUCUCAUGGGAAGCUGGAUAUUUCAAGAUUUCUACCACAGAAUGCAAUGCAUCAGAAACAACAGAUCACCACACCAAUCAAGUUCUCAGACCUCUUUUGCAGCCCCUCCUGUGGGCUUAUCCUGCAAAUCAACAUUUUCAGCAGUAAAAAGCAUGUUUUCAUGGUACUUAUGCAACAGCAGUGUUCCUGGAAGAGAAGCCCAUUGAACACUUGGAUGAUCUGGGAUGACACGAGGCACCUAGGGCUCAGAGACCAGUGAACAAGCAUGUGGGUGGUAUGAGAGGAAUAGGACGGACUCCCACAGGACAGCAUCUGUAACCUGGUGCAAAGCAGGUGCUCCUUGUAUUGUCUCCACAAGAGGCCACACAGGCUGCCAGCCUGUGAAUUUCACACUAAAGCCUUGUGUUAAUCAGCAGGACGAACUUUCCUAUGCCAUGGCCAUUCAACAAAAUAUCAGUACACCAGCUACAGAAGAGGAAUGUGUCAUUUUCCUCUUCACAACUGAGUUUUUUUUUACAGUUAUAAGUGAAGUCUCUUUGGAUAUUUAGUAUGAACAGAAGGAGACAAAACUCUGUCCUAAUGAUUCUUAGAUGCCUCUGGGCCAUUUUGCACACAAUUUCACUGCUCUGCUCAGAAGCACGGGCAGAAACUACAGACAUCUGCAGAACCCAUAAUGAGGACCAGAGAAUAUGUUUACACGUUCUCUCCCGCUUCUAAUUACUGAUGCUGUCUCCUUCAGCAGCUUGUCAUAAGCCUUUAGCUUUCCAAGUGAACCAUACACUCUCAGAACAGACGCAAUGAACAUCAGACGAUUCCCCGCAGACUAGCUUCGGGGCAGGAGAAAAGUUUCCUGCCUUUGGCUGAUGAGAACUGCCGCAGCAGGAUUCGGUCAAGGCUGCUCACCAGCACUGCAGCCACGGAGCCACAUCACGGUGUGGUCCGCCAUGCCAAAAGAUAAGGUGUGCUACCCGAGAAUUCACUGCUAUCUCGAUUCCAUGGCGGUGACGCUACUUUCUGUUCUAGGGCAAAUGCCAAUAAACAAUGAUACACACAG